rnacentral:rRNA from 1 species
GAUUGCGNAUGGGCGAAAGCCUGACGCAGCGACNCCGCGUGGGCGAUGAAGGGUUUCGGCUCNNAAAGCCCUUUUCUGCGUGACGAUGAUGACGGUAGCGCAGGAAAAAGUGUCGGCUAACUACGUGCCAGCAGCCGCGGUAAAACGUAGGACGCAAACGUUAUCCGGAAUUACUGGGCGUAAAGGGCGCGCAGGCGGAUCGAUAAGUGAGGCAUGAAAGCUUCGGGCUAAACCUGGAGAGGCUGUCUGAGACUGUCGAUCUGGAGUGCGAUAGAGGGGUGUAGAAUUCCGCGUGUAGUGGUGAAAUGCGUAGAGAUGCGGAGGAAUACCAGAGGCGAAGGCGGCACCCUGGAUCGUAACUGACGCUGAGGCGCGAAAGCAUGGGGAGCGAACGGGAUUAGAAACCCCGGUAGUCCAUGCCGUAAACGAUGUGCACUCGAUGUUCGUCCCGCUCUGCGGGGUGAGUGUCUAAGUCAACGCGGUAAGUGCACCGCCUGGGGAGUACGGUCGCAAGGCUAAAACUCAAAAGAAUUGACGGA